rnacentral:rRNA from 1 species
AACGAACGCUGGCGGCAUGCCUAACACAUGCAAGUCGAACGAGACCUUCGGGUCUAGUGGCGCACGGGUGCGUAACGCGUGGGAACCUGCCUUUAGGUUCGGAAUAACUCAGAGAAAUUUGAGCUAAUACCGGAUAAUGUCUUCGGACCAAAGAUUUAUCGCCUUUAGAUGGGCCUGCGUUGGAUUAGCUAGUUGGUGGGGUAAAGGCCUACCAAGGCGACGAUCCAUAGCUGGUCUGAGAGGAUGAUCAGCCACACUGGGACUGAGACACGGCCCAGACUCCUACGGGAGGCAGCAGUGGGGAAUAUUGGACAAUGGGCGAAAGCCUGAUCCAGCAAUGCCGCGUGAGUGAUGAAGGCCUUAGGGUUGUAAAGCUCUUUUACCCGGGAUGAUAAUGACAGUACCGGGAGAAUAAGCCCCGGCUAACUCCGUGCCAGCAGCCGCGGU